rnacentral:rRNA from 1 species
AGGAAUAUUGGGCAAUGGGCGCAAGCCCGACCCAGCAACGCCGCGUGGAGGAAGACGGCCUUCGGGUUGUAAACUCCUUUUACGGGGGAAGAGGAAGGACGGUACCCCGAGAAUAAGUCACGGCUAACUACGUGCCAGCAGCCGCGGUAAUACGUAGGUGACAAGCGUUAUCCGGAAUUACUGGGCGUAAAGCGCACGCAGGCGGCGCACUAAGUCUGACGUGAAAUCUCCUGGCUUAACUGGGAGGGGUCGUUGGAGACUGGAGUGCUUGAGGCGAUGAGAGGGGUGUAGAAUUCCCGGUGUAGUGGUGGAAUGCGUAGAUAUCGGGAGGAAUACCAGUGGCGAAAGCGACACCCUGGCAUUAGCCUGACGCUCAGGUGCGAAGGCGUGGGGAGCGAACGGGAUUAGAUACCCCGGUAGUCCACGCGGUAAACGAUGAAUACUAGGUGUGGGUGGAGUGAAAUCCAUCUGUGCCGAAGCAAACGCGCUAAGUAUUCCGCCUGGGGAGUACGGCCGCAAGGCUA